AUGCGAGGUCUGAUGUUGCUAAAUCUUACAAAGAACACACUUUCAGGUGUGAUUCCAAAAGAUUUAGGGAUAAUGGGUGGCCUUGAACAGUUAUACCUUGCACACAACAACUUGUCUGGUUAUAUCCCAGAAAGCUUGGAAAACAUGGCAUCAUUGUACCAGUUAGACCUAUCGUUCAACCAUCUGGAUGGCAAAGUUCCAUCACGGGGAGUGUUUAGCGAUGCAUCUGGAUUUUCAUUUGGUGGGAAUUCGAGGCUUUGUGGUGGUAUAUUAGAGUUACAUUUGCCCGCAUGCCAGACAAAAUCUAUGAGACAUGGCUUUAGCAAACGCCAUUUGACUAUCACCCUAGUUACCGCAAUUGCUGGCAUAAUUCUGAUUUUGAGUUUGAUGCUUGUUUCCUUGACAAUGCUAAUGAAAUCAAAAACUCAGUCUACAACCACAGGAGGAUUCCAUUUGAUGAAUGACAGUCAUCCCAGAGUUACAUAUGCUGAAUUGGUCCAAGGAACAAGUGGCUUUGCAGUAGAUAAUUUGCUUGGAAGAGGAAGGUAUGGAUCGGUGUAUAAGGGUUGUUUGCAUCUCACAAGUAUGAUGACCACAGUAGCUGUAAAGGUUUUUGAUCUUCAAUAG
rnacentral:rRNA from 1 species